AAUCCAUAGGUUAAUGAGGCGAACCGGGGGAACUGAAACAUCUAAGUACCCCGAGGAAAAGAAAUCAACCGAGAUUCCCCCAGUAGCGGCGAGCGAACGGGGAGGAGCCCAGAGCCUGAAUCAGCAUGUGUGUUAGUGGAAGCGUCUGGAAAGGCGCGCGAUACAGGGUGACAGCCCCGUACACAAAAGCGCAUGUGCUGUGAGCUCGAUGAGUAGGGCGGGACACGUGGUAUCCUGUCUGAAUAUGGGGGGACCAUCCUCCAAGGCUAAAUACUCCUGACUGACCGAUAGUGAACCAGUACCGUGAGGGAAAGGCGAAAAGAACCCCGGCGAGGGGAGUGAAAAAGAACCUGAAACCGUGUACGUACAAGCAGUGGGAGCACCCUUUUGGGUGUGACUGCGUACCUUUUGUAUAAUGGGUCAGCGAC
rnacentral:rRNA from 1 species